CUGGUUUGUUGAUGAUGUGGUUCCUACCUGUGACAUUCCGCAAGAUCUUUUUGUUAUAAUUUACCUCAUCACAACUAAAUGUUAGACUUUUCGUCUGCAUAUGGGCAUCUAUUCUUACUGUGACACCAGAAGGGCUUUGGAUGCGAGUUCUCUGUGUGCUGCUGUGGUGGGUAGGCCUUGCAGUGGCACUACGCCAGCAGCAGGACUCCGUAGCUCAGCAUGCUAUUAAGCUGUACCGCGGCCGUGGAGCUGGGGCAUCGUUUGGGCACCGAUGGGUGCGGGAGAACUGCCAGAUGCUGGCAGGGCUGCUGCGGCAGAAAAACGCCGCCAUCAGGAAGCUGUCAUUAGCUGCCGUGGCGGCGCUGCGUGACCCGACGCUUUCGGAUUCCGAGCGGUUGUACCAGGUGCAUACGCUGGAGGUGUUCCAGCGAGAGCUGAAUGAGAGCGAACACUCGGUCUUCCAGGCCGCACUGGGACUGCAGAGAGUACUCCACGGCGAUUACAGGGAUGUAGUCAGCAUGAAACACAGCAGCAGGCAAAGGCUGGAAGCACUCAGGGAGGCUGCGAUUAAGGAGGAGAGAGAGUAUUUGGACCUGUUAGCUGCGGAGAAGCACCAGCAGGAAGCCUUGAAAAGUGCCAAGGAUCAGAACCGGACACUCUCGAUUCUGGAGGGGAUUCUGGAGGAUGUGAGAAAAGCUGCUGACCGGCUAGAGGAAGACAUCGAGGAACAUGCCUUCGACUACAAGAAAGAGGGGAUGAAUGUUGAAGCAGUGCUGAGGGUGGAGGAUGAUGAGGAGAAACUGAAGAGCAAGAACGUCUCUCACAGGAAGCUGUCUGAGGGUGAGGGGAGCCUGGGGCUCAGCAUGCUCAUCGACUCCCAGAACAACCAGUACGUCCUGACCAAACCCAGGGACUCCACCAUGUCCCGUGCUGAUCACCAUUUCAUUAAGGAUAUAAUAUUAAUAGUGAUGCUCUCUUUACCCUGCGGUUGGCUGUGUAUCCAGCUGGGCCUGCCUCCCAUGUUUGGCUAUAUAAUCUGUGGGGUUUUGCUCGGGCCAUCGGGGAUGAACAGUAUCAAGUCUAUGGUUCAGGUGGAGAGUAUUGGGGAGUUUGGUGUGCUAUUCACACUUUUUGUGGUGGGCCUAGAGUUCUCACCAGAGCAACUUCACAAGGUUUGGAGGAUAUCUGUGCAGGGCACCUCCUGCCUAACGCUGCUGAUGGUGGGAGCAGGGGUGGUAUGGGGGCAGCUACUGAGGCUUAAUGUCUCACAAACUGUGUUUGUGUCCAGCUGUCUGUCUUUGUCUAGCACCCCACUGGUGUCUAAGUUCCUCUCUGGCGCUUCACGUGCGGAAAAAGAGGGUGAGCUGGAGCCCAGCAGUGUGUUACUGGGCAUGCUGGUGAUGCAGGAUGUCCAGUUGGGUCUGUUCAUUGCCAUUAUGCCGACCCUCAUUCAGGCAGGGGAUGGACAAGCAGACAGCUCUGUAUCACAUGUGGUCCACGUGCUGUGGCUGCUGGUCCAGGUGUUGGUCUGCCUGGCAGGAGUACUCUUGCUAUGUUUUUUCUUGCGGUCAUUCCUGAUUGGCCCCUUCUACAGGAAGCUCCAUGCCGAAUGUCGGGGCAACAAGGAGAUCAUGGUCCUGGGGACUACGGCCUUCAUGUUCCUGAUGCUAAUGGUGACUGAGUUCCUGUAUUUGUCCAUGGAGCUUGGCUGCUUCCUGGCGGGGGCGCUUGUUUCCUCACAGGGCCACAUGGUCACUUCGGAGGUGAUGCGCUGUGUGGAGCCAAUCAGAGACUUUUUGGCUAUAAUAUUUUUUGCUUCCAUUGGCCUCCAUGUGUUUCCUACCUUUGUGCUGUAUGAGCUGACCAUCCUGCUGGUGUUAACUCUGUCACUGGUCAUUUUAAAGGUGAGUAAUCCUCUGCGACUGCACUUCGAUACAAGGCCUUUGCUACUGGGUCAUAGUGAACCCACUCAUUGUUGAAAUAGUGGCAAAUUCAUUCACAUUUCAUUCAUGUUUUGAAACUUAACUUGUACAUUUUUACAAGUAUUUAAAUAUUUUUCAUCCCAUCUAAUUUAUUUUAAUGUAGCUUUAGAAUGCAGACAGACAGGUAUCAUGUGUUAACUAAAAUAAAAUGCUAAAACUCCUAAAAUAAUAUACUGUUAAUAAUAUUACUACAUCGGCUGAACCAAAGCUUUGUUACACAGUAUAGAAUGUGCAUAGACAAUGCAGGGUCUGAAGUAGUCCACAGUAUUUUACGUCACCAUAGCAGCCUGUUACGGACAGGUGCUGUGUGAAUGUGAAUUGUAUUACCCCUCCGGCAGUGUGAUGCCCUACAGUACACGCAGUGUGAUGCACGUGGUGGGACUGACGCACAGUGACCAUCAGAAUCAUGAAGUGUCUGACAACAUGGAAGGAAUCCCUACAGAAAUAGACCAGGCUGGAAAAAAGAUGACAAAAUUAAGACCCAGUUUCUCAUGGCGGUGGUUGUUCUGUCCACCCUGUUGCCGCGCGGCUCUCGUCACAUCUGCUGGCUGGUCUCAGCGGGCCUGGC